GGCUGUGUGAUAUUUCAGCAUAUUUUUCUUUACCUGGACAAGCUGACAAAUCACAGAGCCACAAUGAAAUAUUUGGCGCUGGCUUUGCUGCUCUGUGUCCUGAUAUCGCUGUCAGACUCCCAGUGCAUUUUCAAACGCAGGACACCUGAAAGAGAAAAUCAGACCCAUUGCCAGGAUGGUGUGGAUUUGACAUGGCAUCCUAAAGGGACAAAAUAGAGGAACAGUGUGUGUCAAGAUUGUACUUGUGAUCAAUGCUGCUAUGGGUAUGCAACUCCAAGAAGAUUCCCUGAAGAUUGUGUUUCUGUUUUUGACCCGAAGGCAUGCCAGUAUGUUGUCCACAAGAAAGACAACCCAUCCGUACUCUGUCCCAUUUUUGCUGGUGUAGGAAAAUAAUGCAAUUAUUGAUCCAGUUGAUCUAAACAUCCUAAUGAUGGUUUUAUGAAAUACUAAGAAGAUCCUUUAAUCUGACUUUAAUCUGUAAAGGACCUUCACAUGCCUACAGAAUAAAUAAAGAAUGCAAAAAAUGUACUUGUGACAAUCUACACAUUUCAGCUCAGCAUGGUUGUUAUGUGUUUGCACAAAUAAAAGAUGUUUGACCUUCUGAAAUCU